GCCAUAUAACACUGAAACAUUGGUUCCCAAACGAUCACUAAAGUUAAGCAACAUCAAGCCUGAUCAGUACCUAGAUGGGUGUCCACUUGAGAAGAUCAGAUGUCGUA